rnacentral:sRNA from 1 species
CUGGCUGGUGGGACCAUGAAUUACAUGUUUGGUUUGGUUUGAUUUGAUUCCAGUCAAUUUCUUGGUGUGAUUUCCAGUGGGACCAGGAUCAGAAUGGUAGACUGGCUGUGUGACUAUACAUAGAACCAGAAUCAAAUUUUUUAUCAGUUCCAUUCUCAAAUAUCUUAAUUCUGGUCCCAUAAGUAUUUAUGAAAUCAGUCACUUUACAUGAUUUAUAUUAUAAUUCUAAUCUCAGAUCAUGUUUUAGUUAUAAAUUAUCAGUUCUGAUUCUAUUUGAUCCCAUUUUACAAAAUGGGACCAAAUGGGACCAUGAUUUACUCUAUAUAGAUUGGCAGCGAUAGAUAGAUUAGCAGUGAUAGAUAGCUUAGCAGUGAUAGAUAGAUUGACAGCGAUAGAUAGAUUGACAGUGGUUGAUAAAUUGACAGCAAGAGAUAGCUGAGCAGUGAGGGAUAGCUUAGCAGUGAGAGAUAGCUUA